UACGAAGGGGGCUAGCGUUGCUCGGAAUUACUGGGCGUAAAGGGCGCGUAGGCGGCUUGCACCGUCAGAUGUGAAAUUCCUGGGCUUAACCUGGGGGCUGCAUUUGAUACGUGUGGGCUUGAGUGCGGAAGAGGGUCGUGGAAUUCCCAGUGUAGAGGUGAAAUUCGUAGAUAUUGGGAAGAACACCGGUGGCGAAGGCGGCGACCUGGUCCGUGACUGACGCUGAGGCGCGAAAGCGUGGGGAGCAAACGGG
rnacentral:rRNA from 1 species